rnacentral:rRNA from 1 species
GGAUUAGGCAUGCAAGUCGUGCGAGAAACUUUUUUUGCUUGCAUUAGAAGUGGACAGCGGCGAAAGGGAGAGUAACGCGUGGAUAUCUGCCCCUAGACCCGGGAUAGCUGCGGGAAACUGCAGGUAAUACCGGAUAAUGCCUCCGGACCAAAGGUGUAAUUCCGUCUAGGGAUGAGUCCGCGUCCUACUAGCUUGUUGGUGGGGUAAUAGCCUACCAAGGCAAUGAUGGGUAGCGGGUGUGAGAGCAUGGCCCGUCUCACUGGGACUGAGACACUGCCCAGACGCCUACGGGUGGCUGCAGUCGAGAAUCUUCCGCAAUGGACGAAAGUCUGACGGAGCGACGCCGCGUGCGGGAUGAAGGCCCUCGGGUUGUAAACCGCUGUCAGUUGGGAGGAAAUGCAUAAGGGUUCUCUCUUAUGUUUGACCGAUCUUCAGAGGAAGUCCGGGCUAAGUUCGUGCCAGCAGCCGCGGUAAGACGAACCGGACGAACGUUAUUCGGAAUCACUGGGCUUAAAGAGUGCGUAGGCGGCUUGGUAGGUUGGGUGUGAAAUCCCACAGCUCAACUGUGGAACUGCGCUCAAAACCCCCAAGCUUGAGGAAGGUAGAGGUGAGCGGAACUGAUGGUGGAGCGGUGUAAUGCGUUGAUAUCAUCAGGAACACCGGUGGCGAAGGCGGCUCACUGGGCCUUUUCUGACGCUGAGGCACGAAAGCUAGGGUAGCGAACAGGAUUAGAUACCCUGGUAGUCCUAGCUGUAAACGAUGAGCACUUGAUCGAGGGGACCUCCACAUCCUCUCGGUCGUAGCGAAAGUGUUAAGUGCUCCGCCUGGGGAGUAUGGUCGCAAGGCAA